rnacentral:rRNA from 1 species
AUACGGAGGGAGCAAGCGUUAUUCGGAAUCACUGGGCGUAAAGGACGCGUAGGCGGGGUUGUAAGUCAGGUGUGAAAUCCUACAGCUCAACUGUAGAACUGCACUUGAAACUACAGACCUAGAGUAUGGAAGGGGCAGAUGGAAUUAGUGGUGUAGGGGUAAAAUCCGUAGAUAUCACUAGGAAUACCGAAAGCGAAGGCGAUCUGCUGGGACAUUACUGACGCUGAGGCGUGAAAGCGUGGGGAGCAAACAGGAUUAGAAACCCCAGUAGUCC